AGCGGCCGACCUGGACAGAUCUGACCCUAAAACUUANCGAAAAGCGUGGGGAGCAAAACAGGAUUAGAUACCCUGGUAGUCCAACGCUGUAAACGAUGGGUACUAGGUUUGGUGGGUCUUGACCCCCGCCGAACCGGCGCUAACGCAAUAAGUACCCCGCCUGGGAAGUACGGUCGCAAGACUAAAACUCAAAGGAAUUGACGGGGGCCCGCACAAGCGGUGGAUCAUGUGGUUUAAUUCGAAGCAACGCGAAGAACCUUACCUGGAUUUGACAUCCUCUGACAACCUUAGAGAUAGGGCUUCUGUAGCAAUACAGCAGAGUGACAGGUGCUGCAUGGCUGUCGUCAGCUCGUGUGGUGACAUGUUGGGUUAAGUCCCGCAACGAGCGCAACCCUUGUCUUUAGUUGCCAUCAUUAAGUUGGGCUCUCUAAAGAGACUGCCGUGGUUAACACGGAGGAAGGUGGGGAUGACGUCAAGUCCUCAUGGCCUUUAUAUCCAGGGCGACACACGUGAUACAAUGGACGGUACAGAGGGACGCCAAGAAGCAAUUCGGAGCUAAUCUCAAAAAGCCGUUCUCAGUUCGGAUUGGAGUCUGCAACUCGACUCCAUGAAGUUGGAAUCGCUAGUAAUCGCGGAUCAGCACGCCGCGGUGAAUACGUUCCCGGGCCUUGUACACACCGCCCGUCACACCAUGGGAGCUGACUCAACCAGAAGACGGUCAGGAUAACCGAAAGGAGUCCUCCGGCGAAGGUGGGGUUGGUGACUGGGGUGAAGUCGUAACAAGGUAAC
rnacentral:rRNA from 1 species